rnacentral:rRNA from 1 species
AGUGAACGCUGGCGGUAGGCCUAACACAUGCAAGUCGAACGGCAGUACAGUAAGGGCUUGCUCUUACGGGUGGCGAGUGGCGGACGGGUGAGGAAUACAUCGGAAUCUACUUUUUCGUGGGGGAUAACGUAGGGAAACUUACGCUAAUACCGCAUACGACCUACGGGUGAAAGCAGGGGAUCUUCGGACCUUGCGCGAUUGAAUGAGCCGAUGUCGGAUUAGCUAGUUGGCGGGGUAAAGGCCCACCAAGGCGACGAUCCGUAGCUGGUCUGAGAGGAUGAUCAGCCACACUGGAACUGAGACACGGUCCAGACUCCUAAGGGAGGCAGCAGUGGGGAAUAUUGGACAAUGGGCGCAAGCCUGAUCCAGCCAUACCGCGUGGGUGAAGAAGGCCUUCGGGUUGUAAAGCCCUUUUGUUGGGAAAGAAAAGCAGCAGGUUAAUACCCCGCUGUUCUGACGGUACCCAAAGAAUAAGCACCGGCUAACUUCGUG